CAUCGAGAAAAAAUGUUAUCGUAACUUUUUAUAUCGUAAAGAGAGAAUUACGCAAUCGUUAAAAAAAAUUAUAUAAACGAUAGAAAUAAACUAAAACGACGAAGAAUGUAAUUGUACAGAGAGCACGUUCGUCACUGAUUCAUUCCAACGUGAAAAUAACGGACAGGCAGAGGUACCCGUACGAUCCCCACGACACGUACUGUACGAAUGAUAGAGCCGAACGAUGGUGACCACAUCAGGGAGGGACCAGGGACCCUUUGUUUCCUCGAACACUUCGUGGAAUUCUUCGAAGGUCAACUGAAGCGUCAAACAGCAAUGGACAAUUGUUGGGCCACGUGAACACCGACAAAUUAACAUGCGACGUCCAGAGGGGCCAAUGACAUCGAGUAACACCAUCGCUCGUUUGGGUCAUUGACGAUCCCCCCUUUCCCUCCACCACCUCUUCACUCCUUCUACCGCUGAUAAACGAAACAUCAAGCUCUCUAAAACGUAUUAUAUACAACAACGUCCUGAUCUGCUCUCGCUGAUUAUGUGUUCCCUUUGGCUUUCUUAAUUAAAGAAGCAUUCUUGACCGCAGUUCGUACUUGACACACUUACGUUGGCAGUACUGUUAUCGUACAAACAUAUAUGAGAAAAACAUAACCUGAAAUUCAAUGACAAUCUGGCCUAGCCCGGUUUUAUACCAUAAAUAUUCCGUGCUUCAUUUAUUUUAGCUUAAUACAUAAAUAUUAUUUAUCAGAACAUGUCAUUUAUUUCUUAUGAUAUUUAUUUCUUAUGACAUUUAUUUCUUAGCUUCAUUUUUAAGAAUAUAUUUACAAGCUUAAAUAUCCUUUCACGCUAACAUUGUUUGAAUAUCU
rnacentral:misc_RNA from 1 species